rnacentral:rRNA from 1 species
UACGAAGGGGGCUAGCGUUGUUCGGAAUCACUGGGCGUAAAGGACGCGUAGGCGGCUGUUCAAGUCGGGGGUGAAAUCCCGUGGCUCAACCACGGAAUGGCCUUCGAUACUGGACGGCUGGAGACCGGAAGAGGUGAGUGGAACUGCGAGUGUAGAGGUGAAAUUCGUAGAUAUUCGCAAGAACACCAGUGGCGAAGGCAGCUCGCUGGGACGGUACUGACGCUGAGACGCGAAAGCGUGGGGAGCAAACAGG